GUGAAGACGAGACACAAAUCUAUGUGGCUUCCGAACAACACGAUCCGAAACCCCGCAUUUUUUUAUUUUUUUAAUAUUUUUCAUUUACUUAGGAGCACUAAAGAAGUAACCACAGAAAAUUUGAGCUUAAUCAAGUAAAAGACGUGGCCUGCGGAAUUUUGUGAAGAUUACAAAAAAUGUGAAAAAAACUUCACAAGGUGAAAACUCAAACUUCGAAGACGAAUUUGGAGAUUCUAAAAUUUUCAAACCCCCUAAAACUGAGGACAGACAGACACUAAAUUUUUUUUUGAUCGAUUUUGAUAUAUGGAACAUUGAAAUCGGAGUUUGUAUGUGAAAGUUAUGGCUGUUUUACGAACGGACUCCGAAUUUGAGGACAAAACGGUCCGAAAGUGGGAAAAAGUUGCGUCGAUGGCUAGAAAUUGAUGGAAACGGUGGGAAAAAACACAAACUGGACUCUAACAAGACCUAACCAGCAACAAGACCUCGUCCAGGACACAAACUCAAAACUGCGGACUCGGAAACUGAAAUAUGCAAAGGCUAUGGCGCGGAAGGGUUGUAGGACACAAAAAUGAUAUGGCACUGGACUUAUGGGACAAACACAAGAACACUCGAAACUAAGGUUAGAUGUGAACCUAACGGUAUACCUGAACCUUUGAUUACCACUUGAUGAGAACAAGGGUGGCCCGAUCUUCCGAAAGGUUCUGUUAACUCUCGAUUUGGUGGAGACGAGACACAAAUCGAUCCGGCUUCCGAACAACACGAUCCGAAACCCUGCAAUUUUUUUUAUUUUUUUGAUAUUUUUCUUUUACUUAGGUGCACUAAAGAAGUAACCACAGAAAAUUUGAGCUUAAAUAAGUGAAAGACGUGGCCUGCGAAAUUUUCUAAAUUUUGUGAAAAAAGUUUAAAAAACUUCACGAGGUGAAAACUUAAACUUCGGAGGCGUAUUUGGAAAUUCUAAAAUUUUCAAACCCGCUAGUGGUAGGGACAGGCAGACCCAAAAUUUUUUUCUGAUUGAUUUUGAUAUAUGGAACAUUGAAAUCGGAGUUCGUACGCGAAUGUUAUGGCUAUUUUACGAACGGACUCUGAAUUAGAGAACAAAACGGUCCGAAAGUGGGAAAAAUUUGUGGCGAUGGCUAGAAAUUGAUGGAAACGGUGGGGAAAAACAUACUAACUGGACUCUAACAAGACCUAACCAGCAACAACCUCGACCAGGACACAAACUCAAAACUGCGGACUCUGAAUCUGAAAUAUGCAAAAGCUAUGGCGCGGAAGGGUUGUAGAACAGGAAAACAAUAUGGCACUGGACUUAUGGGACGAACACAAGAACACUCGAAACUAAGGGUAGAUGUGAACCUAACGGUAUACCUAAAGCUUUGAUUACCACUUGAUGAGAACAAGGGUGGCCCGAUCUUCCGAAAAGUUUUGGUAACUCUCGAUUUGGUGGAGACGAGACACAAAUCGAUACAGCUUCUGAAUAACACGAUCCGAAACCCUGCAUUUUUUUAUUUUUUUGAUAUUUUUAUUUUACUUAGGAGUGCUAAAGGAGUAACCACAGAAAAUUUGAGCUUAAGCAAGUGACAGACAUGGCCUGUGGAAUUUUCUGAAGAUUGUGAAAAAUGUGAAAAAACUUCACGUAUUGGAAACUCAAACUUCGGAGGCGAAUUUCAGGAUUCUAAAAUUGUCAAACCUGCGAAAGUUAGGGACAAACAGAUUUGAAAUUUUUUCUGAUUUAUUUUGAUAUAUGAAACGUUGAAAUCGGAGUUCGUAUGCGAAGGUUAUGGCUGUUUUACGAACAUACUUCGAAUUAGAGGACAAAACGGUUCGAAAAUGGGAAAAUUUUGCGGCGGUGGCAAGAAAUUGAUGGAAACGGUGGGGAAAAGAUAUGAACUGGACUCUAACAAGACCUAACCAGCAACAAAACCUCGACCAGGACACAAACUCAACACUGCAGACUCUGAAACUGAAAUAUGCAAAGGCUAUGGCGCGGAAGGGUUGUAGGACAGGAAAACGAUAUGGCACUGGACUUAUGGGACGAACACAAGAACACUCAAUACUAAGGUUAGAUGUGAACCUAACAGUAUACCUGAAGCUUUGAUUACAACUUGAUGAGAACAAGGGUGGCCCGAUCUUCUGAAAGGUUCUCAUAACUCUCGAUUUGGUGAAGACGAGACACAAAUCGAUCUGGCUUCCAAACAACACAAUCCGAAACCCCGCAUUUUUUUAUUUUUUUAAUAUUUUCCUUUUACUUAGGAGCACUAAAGAAGUAACCACAUAAAAUUUGAGCUUAAUCAAGUAAAAGACGUGGCCUGCGGAAUUUUGUGAAGAUUACAAAAAAUGUGAAAAAAACUUCACAAGGUGAAAACUCAAACUUCGAAGACGAAUUUGGAGAUUCUAAAAUUUUCAAACCCCCCAAAACCGAGGACAGACAGACACUAAAUUUUUUUCUGCUCGAUUUUGAUAUAUGGAACAUUGAAAUCGGAGUUUGUAUGUGAAAGUUAUGGCUGUUUUACGAACGGACUCCGAAUUAGAGGACAAAACGGUCCGAAAGUGGGAAAAAGGUUCGGCGAUGGCUAGAAAUUUAUGGAAACGGUGGGAAAAAAAAUACAAACUGGACUCUAACAAGACCUAACCAGCAACAAGACCUCGACCAGGACACAAACUCAAAAUUGCGGACUCAGAAACUGAAAUAUGCAAAGGCUAUGGCGCGAGAGGGUUGUAGGACACAAAAAUGAUAUGGCACUGGACUUAUGGGACAAACAUAAGAACACUCGAAACUAAGGGUAGAUGUGAACCUAACGGUAUACCUGAAGCUUUGAUUACCACUUCAUGAGAACAAGGGUGGCCCGAUCUUCCCAAAGGUUCUGUUAACUCUCGAUUUGGUGGAGACGAGACACAAAUCGAUCCGGCUUCCGAACAACACGAUCCGAAACCCUGCAAUUUUUUUUUAUUUUUUUGAUAUUUUUCUUUUACUUAGGUGCAUUAAAGAAGUAACCACAGAAAAUAUGAGCUUAAACAAGUGAAAGACGUGGCCUGCGGAAUUUUCUAAAUUUUGUGAAAAUGUGAAAAAAACUUCACGAGGUGAAAACUUAAACUUCGGAGGCGUAUUUGGAAAUUCUAAAAUUUUCAAACCCGCUAGUGGUAGGGACAGGUAGAGCCGAAAUUUUUUUCUGAUUGAUUUUGAUAUAUGGAACGUUGAAAUCGGAGUUUGUACGCGAAUGUUAUGGCUAUUUUACGAACGGACUCCGAAUUAGAGAACAAAACGGUCCGAAAGUGGGAAAAAUUUGCGGCGAUGGCUAGAAAUUGAUGAAAACGGUGGGGAAAAACAUACUAACUGAACUCUAACAAGACCUAACCAGCAACAACCUCGAUCAGGACACAAACUCAAAACUGCGGACUCUCAAUCUAAAAUAUGUAAAAGCUAUGGCGCGGAAGGGUUGUAGAACAGGAAAACAAUAUGGCACUGGACUUAUGGGACGAACACAAGAACACUAGAAACUAAGAGUAGAUGUGAACCUAGCGGUAUACCUAAAGCUUUGAUUACCACUUGAUGAGAACAAGGGUGGCCCGAUCUUACGAAAAGUUAUGUUAACUCUCGAUUUGGUGGAGACGAGACACAAAUCGAUACAGCUUCUGAACAACACGAUCCGAAACCCUAUAUUUUUUUUAUUUUUUUGAUAUUUUUAUUUUACUUAGGAGUGCUAAAGGAGUAACCACAGAAAAUUUGAGCUUAAGCAAGUGAAAGACAUGGCCUGUGGAAUUUUCUGAAGAUUGUGAAAAAUGUGAAAAAACUUCACGUAUUGGAAACUCAAACUUCGAAGGCGAAUUUUAGGAUUCUAAAAGUGUCAAACCCGCGAAACUUAGGGACAACCAGAUCUGAAAUUUUUUUCUGAUCGAUUUUGAUAUAUGAAACAUUGAAAUCGGAGUUCGUAUGCGAAAGUUAUGGCUGUUUUACGAACAGACUUCGAAUUAGAGGACAAAACGGUCCGAAAGUGGAAAAAUUUUGCGCCGGUGGCCAGAAAUUGAUGGAAACGGUGCGGAAAACACAUGAACUGGACUCUAACAAGACCUAACCAGCAACAAGACCUCGACUAGGACACAAACUCAACACUGCGGACUCUGAAACUGAAAUAUGCAAAGGCAAUGGCGCGGAAGGGUUGUAGGAAAGGAAAACUAUAUAGCACUGGACUUAUGGAACGAACACAAGAACACUCAAAACUAAGGCUAGAUGUGAACCUAAUGGUAUAUAUGAAGCUUUGAUUACCAUUUGAUGAGAACAAGGGUGGCACGAUCUUCUGAAAGGUUCUAGUAACUCUCGAUUUGGUGAAGACGAGACACAAAUCGAUAUGGCUUCCGAACAACACGAUCCGAAACCCCGCAUUUUUUUUAUUUUUUUAAUAUUUUCCUUUUACUUAGGAGCACUAAAGAAGUAACCACAGAAAAUUUGAACUUAAUCGAGUAAAAGACGUGGGCUGCGGAAUUUUGUGAAGAUUACACAAAAUGUGAAAAAAACUUCACAAGGUGAAAACUCAAACUUCGAAGACGAAUUUGGAGAUUCUAAAAUUUUCAAACCCCCUAAAACCGAGGACAGACAGACACUAUAUUUUUUCUGAUCGAUUUUGAUAUAUGGAACAUUGAAAUCGAAGUUUGUAUGUGAAAGUUAUGGCUGUUUUACGAACGGACUCCGAAUUAGAGGACAAAACGGUCCGAAAGUGGGAAAAUUUUGCGGCGGUGGCAAGAAAUUGAUGGAAACGGUGGGGAAAACACAUGAACUGGACUCUAACAAGACCUAACCAGCAACAAGACCUCGACCAGAACACAAACUCAACACUGCGGACUCUGAAACUGAAAUAUGCAAAGGUUAUGGCGCGGAAGGGUUGUAGGACAGGAAAACGAUAUGGCACUGGACUUAUGGGACGAACACAAGAACACUCAAAACUAAGGGUAGAUGUGAACCUAACGGUAUACCUGAAGCUUUGAUUACCACUUGAUAAGAACAAGGAUGGUCCGAUCUUCUGAAAGGUUCUGGUAACUCUUGAUUUGGUGGAGACGAGACAUAAAUUGAUCCGGCUUCCGAACAACACGAUCCGAAACCCUGCAAAUUUUUUAUUUUUUUGAUAUUUUUCUAUUACUUAGGUGCACUAAAGAAGUAACCAUAGAAAAUUUGAGCUUAAACAAGUGAAAGACGUGGCCUGCAGAAUUUUGUGAAGAUUACAAAAAAUGUGAAAAAAACUUCACAAGGUGAAAACUCAAAAUUCGAAGACGAAUUUGGAGAUUCUAAAAUUUUCAAACCCCCUAAAACCGAGGACAGACAGACACUAUAUUUUUUCUCAUCGAUUUUGAUAUAUGGAACAUUGAAAUCGAAGUUUGUAUGUGAAAGUUAUGGCUGUUUUACGAACGGACUCCGAAUUAGAGGACAAAACGGUCCGGAAGUGGGAAUAAUUUGUGGUGGUGGCUAGAAAUUGAUGGAAAUGGUGGGCAAAAACAUACCAACUAGACUCUAACAAGACCUAACCAGCAACAUCCUCGACCAGGACACAAACUUAAAAUUGCGGACUCUGAAACUGAAAUAUGCAAAGGCUAUUGCGCGGAAGGGUUGUAGGACAAGAAAACGAUAUGGCACUGGACUUAUGGGACGAAUACAAGAACACUCGAAACUAAGGGUAGAUGUGAACCUAACGGUAUACCUGAAGCUUUAUUACCACUUGAUGAAAUCAAGGGUGGCCCGAUCUUUCGACAGGUUCUGGUAACUCUCGAUUUGGUGGAGACGAGACAUAAAUCAAUGCGGCUUCCAAACAACGCGAUCUGAAACCCUGCAAUUUUUUUAUUUUAUUGAUAUUUUUAUUUUACUUAGGAGCAUUAAAGAAGUAACCAUAGAAAAUUUGAGCUUAAACAAGUAAAUGACGUGGCCUGCUGAAUUUUCUGAAGAUUGCGAAAAAUGUGAAAAAAACUUCACAAGGUGAAAACUCAAACUUCGGAGGUGAAUUUGGAGAAUCUAAAACUUUCAAAGCCGCAAAUAGCAGUGACAGACAGAUCCGAAUUUUUUUGAUCGAUUUUGAUAUAUCGAACAUUGAAAUCGGAGUUUGUAUGUGCAAGUUAUGGCUGUUUUACGAACGGACUCCGAAUUAGAGGACAAAACGGUCCGAAAGUGGGAAAAACUUGCAGCGAUGGCUAGAAACUGAUGGAAACGUUGGGGAAAAAACACGAACUGAACUCUAACAAGACCUAACCAGCAACAAGACCUCGACCAGGACACAAACUCAAAACUGCAGACUCGGAAACUGAAAUAUGCAAAGGCUAUGGCGCGGAAGGGUUGUAGGACACAAAAACGAUAUGGCACUGGACUUAUGGGACGAACACAAGAACACUCGAAACUAAGGGUAGAUGUGAACCUAAAUAUAUACCUGAAGCUUUGAUUACUACUUGAUGAGAACAAGGGUGGCCCGAUCUUCCGAAAGGUUCUGUUAACUCUCGAUUUAGUGGAGACGAGACACAAAUCGAUCCGGCUUCCGAACAACACGAAGGCAAACCCUGCAAUUUUUUUAUUUUUUUAUGUUUUUCUUUUACUUAGGUGCACUAAAGAAGUAACCACAGAAAAUUUGAGCUUAAACAAGUGAAAGACGUGGCUUGCAGAAUUUUCUAUAGAUUGUGAAAAAUGUGAAAAAAACUUCACGAGGUGAAAACUUAAACUUCGGAGGUGUAUUUGGAAGUUCUAAAUUUUUCAAACCCGCUUGUGGUAGGGACAGGCAAACCCGAAAUUUUUUCUGAUUGAUUUUGAUAUAUGGAACGUUGAAAUCGGAGUUCGUACGCGAAUGUUAUGGCUAUUUUACAAACGAACUGCGAAUUAGAGUACAAAACGGUCCGAAAGUGGGAAAAAUUUGCGGCGGUGCCCAGAAAUUGAUGGAAACGGUGGGGAAAAACAUACUAACUGGACUCUAACAAGACCUAACCAGCAACAACCUCGACCAGGACACAAACUCAAAACAACGGACUCUGAAUCUGAAAUAUGGAAAAGCUAUGGCGCGGAAGGGUUGUAGAACAGGAAAACAAUAUGGCACUGGACUCAUGGGACGAACAUAAGAACACAAGAAACUAAGGGUAGAUGUGAACCUAACGGUACACCUAAAGCUUUGAUUACCACUUGAUGAGAACAAGGGUGGCCCGAUCUUCCGAAAGGUUUUGGUAACUCUCGAUUUGGUGGAGAUGAGACACAAAUCGAUACGGCUUAUGAACAACACGAUCCGAAACCCUACAUUUUUUUUAUUUUUUUGAUAUUUUUAUUUUACUUAGGAGCACUAAAGGAGUAACCACAGAAAAUUUGAGCUUAAACAAGUGAAAGACAUGGCCUGUUGAAUUUCUCAAGAUUGUGAAAAAUGUGAAAAGAACUUCACGUAUUGGAAACUCAAACUUCGGAGGCGAAUUUCAAGAUUCUAAAAUUGUCAAACACGCAAAAGUGAGGGACAAACAUAUCUCAAAUUUUUUCUUAUCGAUUUUGAUAUAUGGAACGUUGAAAUCGGAGUUCGUAUGCGAAAGUUAUGGCUGUUUUACGAACAGACUCCGAAUUAGAGGACAAAACGAUCCGAAAGUGGGAAUAAUUCGCGGUGGUGGCUAGAAAUUGAUGGAAAUGGUGGGGAAAAACAUACGAACUAGACUCUAACAAGACCUAACCAGCAACAUCCUCGACCAAGACACAAACUCAAAAUUGCGGACUCUGAAACUGAAAUAUGCAAAGGCUAUUGCGCGGAAGGGUUGUAGAACAAGAAAACGAUAUGGCACUGGACUUAUGGGACGAAUACAAGAACACUCGAAACUAAGUGUAGAUGUGAACCUAACGGUAUACCUGAAGCUUUAUUACCACUUGAUGAGAUCAAGGGUGGCCCGAUCUUUCGACAGGUUCUGGUAACUCUCGAUUUGGUGGAGACGAGACACAAAUCAAUGCGGCUUCCAAACAACGCGAUCUGAAACCCUGCAAUUUUUUUAUUUUAUUGAUAUUUUUAUUUUACUUAGGAGCAUUAAAGAAGUAACCAUAAAAAAUUUGAGCUUAAACAAGUAAAAGACGUUUCCUGCAGAAUUUUCUGAAGAUCGCAAAAAAUGUGAAAAAAACAUCACAAGGUGAAAACUGAAACUUCGGAGGUGAAUUUGGAGAUUCUAAAACUUUCAAACCCGUAAAUAGCAGUAACAGACAGAUCCGAAUUUUUUUGAUCGAUUUUGAUAUAUGGAACAUUAAAAUCGGAGUUUGUAUGUGCAAGUUAUAGCUGUUUUACGAACGGACUCUGAAUCAGAGGACAAAACGGUCCGAAAGUGGGAAAAAGUUGCAGCGAUGGCUAGAAAUUGAUGGAAACGUUCGGAAAAAAACACGAACUAGACUCUAACAAGACCUAACCAGCAACAAGUCCUCGACCAGGACACAAACUCAAAACUGCAGACUCGGAAACUGAUAUAAAAAGGCUAUGGCGCGGAAGGGUUGUAGGACACAAAAACGAUAUGGCACUGGACUUAUGGGACGAACACAAGAACACUCGAAACUAAGGGUAGAUGUGAACCUAACGGUAUACCUGAAGCUUCGAUUACCACUUGAUGAGAACAAGGGUGGCCGGAUCUUCUGAAAGGUUCUGUUAACUCUCGAUUUGGUGGAGACGAGACACAAAUCGAUCCGGCUUCCGAACAACACGAAGGCAAACCCUGCAAUUUUUUUUAUUUUUUUGAUAUUUUUCUUUUACUUAGGUGCACUAAAGAAGUAACCACAGAAAAUUUGAGCUUAAUCAAGUGAAAGACGUGGCCUGCAGAAUUUUGUAAAGAUUGUGAAAAAUGUGAAAAAAAACUUCACAAGGUGAUAACUUAAACUUCGGAGGUGUAUUUGGAAAUUUUAAAAUUUUCAAUCCCGCUAGUGGUAGGGACAGGCAAACCCGAAAUUUUUUCUGAUUGAUUUUGAUAUAUGGAACAUUGAAAUCGGAGUUCGUACGCGAAUGUUAUGGCUAUUUUACGAACAGACUCCGAAUUAGAGAACAAAACGGUCCGAAAGUGGGAAAAAUUUGCGGCGGUGGCUAGAAAUUGAUGGAAACCUGCGGACUUUGAAUGUGAAAUAUGCAAAAGCUAUGGCGCGGAAGGGUUGUAGAAUAGGAAAAUAAUAUGGCACUGGACUUAUGGGACGAACACAAGAACACUCGAAACUAAGGGUAGAUGUGAACCUAACGGUAUACCUAAAGCUUUGAUUACCACUUGAUGAGAACAAGGAUGGCCCGAUCUUCCGAAAGGUUCUGGUAACUCUCGAUUUGGUGGAGACGAGACACAAAUCGAUACGGCUUCUGAACAACACAAUCUGAAACCCUUCAUUUUUUUAUUUUUUUGAUAUUUUUAUUUUACUUAGGAGCACUAAAGGAGUAACCACAUAAAAUUUGAGCUUAAACAAGUGAAAGACAUGGCCUGUGGAAUUUCUGAAGAUUGUGAAAAAUGUGAAAAGAACUUCACGUAUUGGAAACUCAAACUUCGGAGGCGAAUUUCAGGAUUCUAAAGUGGUCAAACCCGCGAAAGUUAGGGACAAACAGACCUGAAAUUUUUUUCUGAUCGAUUUUGAUAUAUGGAACGUUGAAAUCGGAGUUCGUAUGCAAAAGUUAUGGCUGUUUUACGAACAGACUCCGAAUUAGAGGACAAAACGGUCCGAAAGUGGGAAAAAUUUGCGGCGGUGGCUAGAAAUUGAUGGAAACGGUGGGGAAAACACAUGAACUGGACUCUAACAAGACCUAACCAGCAACAAGACCUCGACCAGGACACAAACUCAACACUGCGGACUCUGAAACUGAAAUAUGCAAAGGCUAUGGCGUGGAAGGGUUGUAGGAUGGAAAAACGAUAUGGCACUGGACUUAUGGGACGAACACAACACUCAAAACUAAGGGUAGAUGUGAACCUAAUGGUAUACCUGAAGCUUUGAUUACCACUUGAUGAGAACAAGGGUGGCCCGAUCUUCUGAAUGGUUCUGGUAACUCUCGAUUUGGUGAAGACGAGACACAAAUCGAUCUGGCUUCCGAACAACACGAUCCGAAAUCCCGCAUUUUUUUAUUUUUUUAAUAUUUUCCUUUUACUUAGGAGCACUAAAGAAGUAACCAUAGAAAAAUUGAGCUUAAACAAGUAAAAGACGUGGCCUGCGGAAUUUUGUGAAGAUUACAAAAAAUGUGAAAAAAACUUCACAAGGUGAAAACUCAAACUUCGAAGACGAAUUUGGAGAUUCUAAAAUUUUCAAACCCCCUAAAACCGAGGACACACAGACAGACACUAAAUUUUUUUCUG
rnacentral:lncRNA from 1 species